rnacentral:tRNA from 1 species
GUUGGAAUGUUUGACAUUCUUUGGACUUCGAAUCCUGUGGUCGGGGGUUCGACUCCCCCCGGGCGUGCCA